UACGAAGGGGGCUAGCGUUGUUCGGAAUUACUGGGCGUAAAGCGCACGUAGGCGGAUUUGUAAGUCAGGGGUGAAAUCCCGGGGCUCAACCCCGGAACUGCCUUUGAUACUGGUAGUCUCGAGUCCGGAAGAGGUGAGUGGAAUUCCGAGUGUAGAGGUGAAAUUCGUAGAUAUUCGGAGGAACACCAGUGGCGAAGGCGGCUCACUGGUCCGGUACUGACGCUGAGGUGCGAAAGCGUGGGGAG
rnacentral:rRNA from 1 species